rnacentral:misc_RNA from 1 species
AAGAAAAUGAACCUUGAGGCUGUUGCUGGCUCAUAUAUAGGCAUGUGCACGCCUCUGGUCAUUAUUAAUUCCACCUGUGCAUGCUUGUAGACACUUGGGAAUGAGAGACUUUAACCAGCCCCUUGAGAAAUUGAACUUUCCAAUCUCUGGGUGUCUAUGCCAUUUUUAAAACACCAGUUGCAUGUUUAUAGAAUGAUAUGAUUACCAUGUAAAAUA